UACAGUGAUAUCACGUUGAAACACCGUUCCCGUACGAUCGCCAAAGUUAAGCAACGUCGAACCAGAUCGGUACCUAGAUAGGUGACUGCUUGGGAGUACCAGAUGCUGCUA